GGUCAAGUAAUGAAGUGCACAUGGUGGAUGCCUUGGCAGUCAGAGGCGAUGAAAGACGUGAUAGCCUGCGAUAAGCGUCGGUGAGGUGGCAAUAUCCUGUGACCCGGCGAUUUCUGAAUGGGGAAACCCAGCCAACAUAAGUUGGCUAUCCUAACCUUUGGUUAGGAGGCGAACCGGGAGAAGUGAAACAUCUCAGUACCCCGAGGAAAAGACAUCAAUAGAGAUUCCCCAAGUAGCGGCGAGCGAACGGGGAGUAGCCGAUCAAACUUGUAGUAGCAAAAUGGCGUGGGAAAGCCAACCAUAGUAGGUGAUAGUCCUGUAUGCGAAACUGCAAAUGCGACAUAUUAAGUAGGGCGAGACACGUGAAAUCUUGUCUGAAGAUGGGGGGACCAUCCUCCAAGGCUAAAUACUCCUGACUGACCGAUAGUGAACCAGUACCGUGAGGGAAAGGCGAAAAGAACCCCUGUUAGGGGAGUGAAAUAGAACCUGAAACCGUGUGCAUACAAGCAGUCGGAGCCCACUUGUUGGGUGACGGCGUACCUUUUGUAUAAUGGGUCAGCGACUUAUAUUCUGUAGCAAGGUUAACCGUUUAGGGGAGCCGUAGGGAAACCGAGUCUUAAUAGGGCGAAUUAAGUUGCAGGGUAUAGACCCGAAACCGAGUGAUCUAUCCAUGAGCAGGUUGAAAGUGCCGUAACAGGCACCGGAGGACCGAACCCACUGUCGUUGAAAAGCCAGGGGAUGACUUGUGGAUAGGGGUGAAAGGCUAAUCAAACUCGGUGAUAGCUGGUUCUCCCCGAAAGCUAUUUAGGUAGCGCCUCGGACGAACACCAUUGGGGGUAGAGCACUGUUUCGGCUAGGGGGUCAUCCCGACUUACCAAACCGAUGCAAACUCCGAAUACCGAUGAGUGAUAUCCGGGAGACAGACGGCGGGUGCUAACGUCCGUCGUCAAGAGGGAAACAACCCAGACCGCCAGCUAAGGCCCCAAAUUCCUAGUUAAGUGGGAAACGAUGUGGGAAGGCACAGACAGCUAGGAUGUUGGCUUAGAAGCAGCCAUCAUUUAAAGAAAGCGUAAUAGCUCACUAGUCGAGUCGGCCUGCGCGGAAGAUGUAACGGGGCUCAAACUAGGAGCCGAAGCUGCGGAUUUAAUUGUUUCAAUUAAGUGGUAGGGGAGCGUUGUGUAAGCCUGUGAAGGUGUAUCGUAAGGUAUGCUGGAGGUAUCACAAGAGCGAAUGCUGACGUGAGUAACGACAAAACGGGUGAAAAGCCCGUUCGCCGGAAGACCAAGGGUUCCAGUCCAACGUUAAUCGGGGCUGGGUGAGUCGACCCCUAAGGCGAGGCCGAAAGGCGUAGUCGAUGGGAAAUCGGUUAAUAUUCCGAUACUUGUUUAUGAUGCGAUGGAGGGACGGAGAAGGUUAUGUCAGCCUGGCGUUGGUUGUCCAGGUGGAAGGAUGUAGGUAGGUUUAGUAGGCAAAUCCGCUAGACUAUUACUGAGAUCUGAUAGCAAGCC
rnacentral:rRNA from 1 species